rnacentral:tRNA from 1 species
UGCUCCAAUAGCGAAGUGGUCAUAGCACUCGCCUUGUACGCGGAGGUCUCGGGUUCAAUUCCCGGGCAA